GACGAACGCUGGCGGCGUGCUUAACACAUGCAAGUCGAACGGAAAGGCCCUGCUUUUGUGGGGUGCUCGAGUGGCGAACGGGUGAGUAACACGUGAGUAACCUGCCCUUGACUUUGGGAUAACUUCAGGAAACUGGGGCUAAUACCGGAUAGGAGCUCCUGCUGCAUGGUGGGGGUUGGAAAGUUUCGGCGGUUGGGGAUGGACUCGCGGCUUAUCAGCUUGUUGGUGGGGUAGUGGCUUACCAAGGCUUUGACGGGUAGCCGGCCUGAGAGGGUGACCGGCCACAUUGGGACUGAGAGACGGCCCAGACUCCUACGGGAGGCGGCAGUGGGGAAUAUUGCACAAUGGGCGGAAGCCUGAUGCAGCAACGCCGCGUGCGGGAUGACGGCCUUCGGGUUGUAAACCGCUUUCGCCUGUGACGAAGCGUGAGUGACGGUAAUGGGUAAAGAAGCACCGGCUAACUACGUG
rnacentral:rRNA from 1 species